rnacentral:misc_RNA from 1 species
CCAUGCCAUAUCUCAUAAGGUGUGAAAGAUACUGAUUUUGAUGGAAUUCUAUUUAGAAUAUGCAAAGCUGAUUCUAAUGCAAAUCCCCAAAAGGAGAUUGACAUAUCAGUAUAGCUCAUCAUACUACGUACCAUAUCCAAUAUGGUACGAUUUCUCCUUUCAGAUAUACCAUUCAGCUGUGGUGUUCCUGGAGGAGUCAGUUGGGAAACAAUGCUAUGCUCUUUCAAGUAUUGAUCAAAUUCAGUACUCAAGUAUUC